rnacentral:rRNA from 1 species
GACGAACGCUGGCGGCGUGCCUGACACAUGCAAGUCGGACGGUUCUUGUACCUUCAAGCUUGCUUGUUGGUGCAAGGAUAGUGGCGGACGGGUGAGUAACGCGUGAACAUCUACCCAUUGGAGGGGGACAACCCGUCGAAAGGCGGGCUAAUACCGCGUAAGCCGCGAGGUGAGAGGCUGCCUAUUGGUGGCCGCCGAUGGAUGGGUUCGCGUCCUAUCAGCUGGUUGGUGGGGUAACGGCCUACCAAGGCGAAGACGGGUAGCCGGUCUGAGAGGAUGGCCGGCCACACUGGAACUGAGACACGGUCCAGACUCCUACGGGAGGCAGCAGUGAGGAAUAUUGCACAAUGGGCGAAAGCCUGAUGCAGCAACGCCGCGUGAGUGACGAAGGCCUUCGGGUUGUAAAGCUCUGUCGGGUGGGAAGAUGUGGUCCGGCUAACGACCGGAUUGUGACGGUACCAUCAAAGGAAGCACCGGCUAACUACCGUGCCAGCAGCCGCGGUAAA